rnacentral:rRNA from 1 species
GCUGGCGGCAUGCCUAACACAUGCAAGUCGAACGGUAACAGGCCGCUGGGAUCCCUUCGGGGUGACCUUGGCGCUGACGAGUGGCGGACGGGUGAGUAAUGCGUAGGAAUUUGCCUCAAAGUGGGGGAUAGCCCGAAGAAAUUCGGAUUAAUACCGCAUGUGCUCUACGGAGGAAAGCGGGCCUCUACUUGUAAGCUCGCGCUUUGAGAUAAGCCUACGUCGGAUUAGCUUGUUGGUGGGGUAAUGGCCUACCAAGGCGACGAUCCGUAGCUGGUCUGAGAGGAUGAUCAGCCACACUGGGACUGAGACACGGCCCAGACUCCUACGGGAGGCAGCAGUGGGGAAUAUUGGACAAUGGGCGCAAGCCUGAUCCAGCAAUGCCGCGUGUGUGAAGAAGGCCUGCGGGUUGUAAAGCACUUUUAUCAGGAAAGAAAAUCUCGGGGCUAAUACCCCCGGGCCUUGACGGUACCUGAAGAAUAAGCACCGGCUAACUCCGUG